GUAGCAUCACUGCAGAUCUCCUGCCACCCAGGCAGCUUGGAUUUCAGGAAGUCCGCACACUGCAUCCAAGUUUAAAAAGCUCAGCCUGAGACUUCUCUAAAGAAUCUAAUUUGCUUCUGUGUUCAGUUUGGUACCUUUUUAAAGUUGCCUGCAAUCAAAGCAUUCAAAACAUCUCAGUGCACUCAGCCCCGGAACUGGGUAAACUCUCUGUAUGCUGUACAUCAGGCAAAAGCCAUUUUGCGCUGGAAUCUCCUACUGCCACUGGUAAUCCACAGGCACUGGAUGUACUGGCUCACCCAUUUAAUUUCCUCUUUCAUGUUUUGAAUCAACAUUUUGAAAAGAACCCAUAGUAAGCACACUCUGACCUAUUAAGAUUUAAAUUACAGGUCAGAUCCUGCACUUUGAAUAAACAGAGUGCAUUUUUACAGUGAAUAUAUGGCAUGUUUUUUAUUGCUAGUUUAAGAUAACAGGUUAGCCACAUUUUGAUGGCCCUCCCAAGUAAGAUCUAUACAAGGAGACAAGUUUUUGUAGAAGACUAAUUCAGGAAAGGCAAAACAACCCUUAGCCUACAUGUAACAGAAUAGCUCUAAUAAAGACAGUGGGUUACUCUGGAUUAUUAACGGCAUAACCUAAGGUCAGGCUCUAGUGUUCAGUAAUUAUUAAUCUUGUAAAAAGGUACAGGAAACUACUUCAGGUGAAGACAUAUCUAUUUCUCACAUCUACUAAAACCAUUUUGCUCUGUUAUUAACGCUGCUCAUGAUGAGGUUUUAUACAUGAGAGCUCAUGCUAUACAAUAAGCAGGUAUUAACCUUGUCAUCGUUUAUUGGCAACGCCCUAUCAAACAGAAUGACACAACCAGAGCGCAUGAUAACAGGCCACUUCAGUCCAAUUUGUGGCAGACAUGCUGUAAACUUGAACCUGUUUUUUGGCAUCAUAUUAUGCAGCAAAUUAAUAACCCAAAACCACUGGUCUUGAUGAUAAAUAUAACUAUUAAAAUACCAGCAUUUCAAAGAUGUUUUUUCUGCUUUCCAUUCCUCCAUACCCUGAA